rnacentral:lncRNA from 1 species
GAAAAAUAGGAUAUUUCUAGACAUGGUUAAUAGUAUGUUAGCUACCUCUGGCUUUUGCCAUUUUUGAGUUUCACUCCAAAUUUUUGUGGGAAGAUUCAAGGUUUAUCAUGCAGCUUUUUCUUUGAGGGAAGGUUGUGUCUCUUGUUUUCUCUCAUAAGUGUAAUCCCACAUUGCAAAGAGGCUUGUCCUAAAAUNUCUUUUAUGUAGAGGUGGGAACUCAAGCCUACUAAAGGCUUGGAAGAGUGAGAGAGGAUCUUUUGAUACACGCACGC